AUUGAACGCUGGCGGCAGGCCUAACACAUGCAAGUCGAGCGGAUGAAGGGAGCUUGCUCCUGGAUUCAGCGGCGGACGGGUGAGUAAUGCCUAGGAAUCUGCCUGGUAGUGGGGGAUAACGUCCGGAAACGGGCGCUAAUACCGCAUACGUCCUGAGGGAGAAAGUGGGGGAUCUUCGGACCUCACGCUAUCAGAUGAGCCUAGGUCGGAUUAGCUAGUUGGUGGGGUAAAGGCCUACCAAGGCGACGAUCCGUAACUGGUCUGAGAGGAUGAUCAGUCACACUGGAACUGAGACACGGUCCAGACUCCUACGGGAGGCAGCAGUGGGGAAUAUUGGACAAAGGGCGAAAGCCUGAUCCAGCCAUGCCGCAUGUGUGAAGAAGGUCUUCGGAUUGUAAAGCACUUUAAGUUGGGAGGAAGGGCAGUAAGUUAAUACCUUGCUGUUUUGACGUUACCAACAGAAUAAGCACCGGCUAACUUCGUG
rnacentral:rRNA from 1 species